CCUACGGGGUGCUGCAGUGGGGGAUAUUGCACAAUGGGGGAAACCCUGAUGCAGCGACGCCGCGUGGGUGAAGAAGCGCCUCGGCGCGUAAAGCCCUGUCAGCAGGGAAGAAAAUUACGGUACCUGAAGAAGAAGCCCCGGCUAACUACGUGCCAGCAGCCGCGGUAAUACGUAGGGGGCAAGCGUUAUCCGGAUUUACUGGGUGUAAAGGGGGCGCAGACGGCGAUGCAAGCCAGGAGUGAAAGCCCGGGGCCCAACCCCGGGACUGCUCUUGGAACUGCGUGGCUAGAGUGCAGGAGGGGCAGGCGGAAUUCCUGGUGUAGCGGUGAAAUGCGUAGAUAGCAGGAGGAACACCGGUGGCGAAGGCGGCCUGCUGGACUGCAACUGACGUUGAGGCCCGAAAGCGUGGGGAGCAAACAGGAUUAGAUACCCUGGUAGUC
rnacentral:rRNA from 1 species